CCCUUAGAUGUCCGGGGCUGCACGCGCGCUACACUGUAGAAAGCAGCGUGCUUUGAAACCUUUCCUGAAAAGGAUGGGUAACCCCAGCAAAAUUCUACGUGCUUGGGAUAGAGAUUUGCAAUUUUCUCUCUUGAACGAGGAAUUCCCAGUAAGUGCGAGUCAUCAGCUCGCGUUGAUUACGUCCCUGCCCUUUGUACACACCGCCCGUCGCUACUACCGAUUGGGAAAAUUUUAGAGAGUCCUGGACUGAUGAUUGUUCGGCUUCACGGCCUUACUUUCGUCGGGAAAGAAUUCGAUAAUAUUUUUCUAGAGGAAGUAAAAGUCGUAACA
rnacentral:rRNA from 1 species